UGAGGAAUAUUGGACAAUGGAUGGAAAUCUGAUCCAGCCAUGCCGCGUGCAGGAAGACGGCCUAUGGGUUGUAAACUGCUUUAUAUGGGAGCAAUAAGGCCUACGAGUAGGUUGAUGAGAGUACCAUAUGAAUAAGCACCGGCUAACUCCGUGCC
rnacentral:rRNA from 1 species